AUGCUGGGGGUCUUAGGAACAAGACUGGAUUUAAAAAAAAAAAAAAAAAGACUGACAAGAGCUCAAAGAAAAGUGGAACAAACCAUAAUCUGGGCAAAGGUGAAUGUUGAGGGACUCAAGGAGUUCCAGGCCCAGAAAAAGAAAUUCCAUGGAAUUAUAGUUGGUACUAUUCUGCAAUGUCUCUAGUUGAAAGCCAAAGUGAAGACAGACAAAGUGAAGGUAGGUGAACUUAGUAAAUAUCUAAGUCUCUGUGUCAUUAUUACUGCAUGCAUGAGUACACGUG
rnacentral:lncRNA from 1 species